rnacentral:rRNA from 1 species
UACGGGGGGGGCAAGCGUUGUUCGGAAUUACUGGGCGUAAAGGGCGCGUAGGCGGUUUGUUAAGUUGGAUGUGAAAACUGUGGGCUUAACCCAUAGCCUGCAUCCAAAACUAGCAGGCUAGAGUUCUGGAGGGGAUAGCGGAAUUCCUGGUGUAGCGGUGAAAUGCGUAGAUAUCAGGAGGAACACCGAUGGCGAAGGCAGGUCUCUGGGCCACUACUGACGCUGAGAAGCGAAAGCAUGGGGAGCGAACAGG